CUAGCGGCCACCUGUGGAGAGAGAGAAGAAAGAGAGCGAAUAAGUGAAGAACAGACUGUGAAUGUGAUACCUACCCAGAAAGCUGUAUGCAGCAGAGCCGGUGAGAAACACUCGAAGUCUCAGUAACAGUGUCUUUGUGUCCUAGCGGCCACCUGUGGAGAGAGAGAAGGACGAGAGUGAAUAAGUGAAGAACAGACUGUGAAUGUGAUACCUACCCAGAAAGCUGUAUGCAGCAGAGCCGCGGCCACCUGUGGAGAGAGAGAAGAACGAGAGCGAAUAAGUGAAGAACAGACUGUGAAUGUGAUACCUACCCAGGAAGCUGUAUGCAGCAGAGCCGUGGCCGCCUGAGGAGAGAAAGGAGGACGAGAGUGAACAAUCGGAGGACAGACGGUGUAACACGCUACCUACCCCGAGAGCUGUAAGCGGCAGAACCGGUGAGAAGCAUACCAAAUCCACACUAACCGUGUUUCUGUGUCGCAGUAAACACCUGCGGGAGACGUGAAGGCACGUGGGGCGAGGACCCCCUGCCGGACCGAGGAAGGGCUCACGGACAGUGGAAAAUCUCCUACCAGUCACACCUAAAUUGUUCUGCCUCCGGGAAAGAAGAAGGAGGGCGCCACGGUUAACAGGGUCCAGGCCGGAGCCUGACGAUUCCCUCUUUCUCCCGGCUUUGGUGGUUGACACCCCUGUUGCCCUUGCCCCUGUCUGCCCGGGCUGCAGUCUCCCUGGAGGGAGGAGAAGAAGCCUAUUAGUUUUAAAUUCCCCUUUCCCCAAUUCCCCAGUUCUUUUAAAUAUUUAAAUUCAAUAAAGCUUGUUUUAAAUUUUA